rnacentral:rRNA from 1 species
GACGAACGCUGGCGGCGUGCCUAAUACAUGCAAGUUGAGCGCUGAAGGUUGGUACUUGUACCAACUGGAUGAGCAGCGAACGGGUGAGUAACGCGUGGGGAAUCUGCCUUUGAGCGGGGGACAACAUUUGGAAACGAAUGCUAAUACCGCAUAAAAACUUUAAACACAAGUUUUAAGUUUGAAAGAUGCAAUUGCAUCACUCAAAGAUGAUCCCGCGUUGUAUUAGCUAGUUGGUGAGGUAAAGGCUCACCAAGGCGAUGAUACAUAGCCGACCUGAGAGGGGGAUCGGCCACAUUGGGACUGAGACACGGCCCAAACUCCUUCGGGAGGCAGCAGUAGGGAAUCGUCGGCCAUGGACGAAAGUCUGACCGAGCAACGCCGAGUGAGUGAAGAAGGUUUUCGGAUCGUAAAACUCUGUUGGUAGAGAAGAACGGUGGUGAGAGUGGAAAGCUCAUCAAGUGACGGUAACUACCCAGAAAGGGACGGCUAACUACGUG